rnacentral:rRNA from 1 species
CGGAGGAUCCAAGCGUUAUCCGGAAUCAUUGGGUUUAAAGGGUCCGUAGGCGGUUUAGUAAGUCAGUGGUGAAAGCCCAUCGCUCAACGGUGGAACGGCCAUUGAUACUGCUAGACUUGAAUUAUUAGGAAGUAACUAGAAUAUGUAGUGUAGCGGUGAAAUGCUUAGAGAUUACAUGGAAUACCAAUUGCGAAGGCAGGUUACUACUAAUGGAUUGACGCUGAUGGACGAAAGCGUGGGUAGCGAACAGGAUUAGAUACCCUGGUAGUCCACGCCGUAAACGAUGGAUACUAGCUGUUGGGAGCGAUCUCAGUGGCUAAGCGAAAGUAAUAAGUAUCCCACCUGGGGAGUACGUUCGCAAGAAUG